GGUUACUGCUAUCGGUGUUCGCCUAAGCCAUGCGAGUCAUAUGUUCGUAAGAACAUGGCGUACUGCUCAGUAACACGUGGAUAACCUGCCCUUGGGUCUGGCAUAACCCCGGGAAGCUGGGGAUAAUUCCGGAUAACGCACAUAUGCUGGAAUGCUUUAUGCGUAAAAUGGAUUCGUCUGCCCAAGGAUGGGUCUGCGGCCUAUCAGGUAGUAGUGGGUGUAAUUUACCUACUAGCCUACGACGGGUACGGGUUGUGAGAGCAAGAGCCCGGAGAUGAAUUCUGAGACAUGAAUCCAGGCCCUACGGGGCGCAGCAGGCGCGAAAACUUUACAAUGCGGGAAACCGUGAUAAGGGGACACCGAGUGCCAGCAUCCUAUGCUGGCUGUCCGGGUGUGUAAAAUACACCUGUUAGCAAGGGCCGGGCGAGACCGGUGCCAGCCGCCGCGGUAACACCGGCGGCCCGAGUGGUGAUCGUGAUUAUUGGGUCUAAAGGGUCCGUAGCCGGUUUGGUCAGUCCUCCGGGAAAUCUGACAGCUUAACUGUUAGGCUUUCGGAGGAUACUGCCAGACUUGGAACCGGGAGAGGUAAGAGGUACUACAGGGGUAGGAGUGAAAUCUUGUAAUCCCUGUGGGACCACCUGUGGCGAAGGCGUCUUACCAGAACGGGUUCGACGGUGAGGGACGAAAGCUGGGGGCACGAACCGGAUUAGAUACCCGGGUAGUCCCAGCCGUAAACGAUGCUCGCUAGGUGUCAGGCAUGGCGCGACCGUGUCUGGUGCCGCAGGGAAGCCGUGAAGCGAGCCACCUGGGAAGUACGGCCGCAAGGCUGAAACUUAA
rnacentral:rRNA from 1 species